GCCACGGCGCGGUGCCGCUCCGCGGCCCCGGGAAGCGUCGCCCACCGCGGUCAUUCCUCGGAGAGCGUUUAAUCCCCCGCCGCCCUCUCCGUCCGCCCGCUGUAGAAAUGCGCGCGUAAUCUGACAACAGGUUUUUCCGCCUGGGCUGGGUUCUCUGCCGGACUGUUUAGAUUCGUUUUUCAUCUUUAUAUCGUCAUCAUCUUAUCGUUACUAUUACUGCAAUGGUGGGGGAGUGCCAAAGCACCCCGUUUCUCCACGGGAUGCCCCCCAGCCCCCUUUGCUCAGGCCUCCCCCUCCCUUCCAUUUCUUCCAGCGCGUCUCGUCUGUCCGCAGGAAGCGGGGAAACACUUCAGCUGAGGUCUCCCCCUGCUUCCGUGCGUUUCUGUCCGGCCGCCUCUUAAAUAUCUGCUGUUUUAUGAGUGACUCUCCACGGCGAAGUAGCAUAAGUCACGUCAGGGCCGCGGACGGAGGGACGGUGCAUCAGAGCCGCGGCGGUGCCCCGGGUUGGAGGCUGACGGUUACCAUAAAUGUCGCGUUUCUCCCUGCGAGCUGCUCUGAAUGAUUUUAGCCUGUUGAGAAGGCGUGACAGGCCAGCCCAGAAGGAGGAAGGGGUGGGGGAAGGAGGGAACUCCGUUUAACAAAUAAAAAAGAAUUAACUUCA